rnacentral:lncRNA from 1 species
GCCAAUUUGGGGCCAGCCAGCAUCAGCCGGCCACGAACAGCACAGAAGACAGCGCCAAGGAGAGGCUGCGGUCUGACUGUGCGUCCUGAAAGACCAGCGAGGUCUAGGGGUUCCUGGGGCCCAGCCCCGCCUGUGUCCCUUCCCCUCUCUUCACCUGCCUGCCAGGAACACAUGGCUGUGACUGUCCCUGCUCCAGAGGUUCUCACACACAAGGGAUCAGACUAGGUCUGCCAUAAUUCAGGGUGCUCAAGCAGGAAGAGGAGAGUGAUGGAGAGAUCUCAACGGUGUCUUUGGCGCCUUUGACCAGCAGCUGUAUCCACC